rnacentral:rRNA from 1 species
GAUGAACGCUGGCGGCGUGCCUAAUACAUGCAAGUCGAGCGAACGGAUGAGAAGCUUGCUUCUCUGAUGUUAGCGGCGGACGGGUGAGUAACACGUGGAUAACCUACCUAUAAGACUGGGAUAACUUCGGGAAACCGGAGUUAAUACCGGAUAAUAUUUUGAACCGCAUGGUUCAAAAGUGAAAGACGGUCUUGCUGUCACUUAUAGAUGGAUCCGCGCUGCAUUAGCUAGUUGGUAAGGUAACGGCUUACCAAGGCAACGAUGCAUAGCCGACCUGAGAGGGUGAUCGGCCACACUGGAACUGAGACACGGUCCAGACUCCUACGGGAGGCAGCAGUAGGGAAUCUUCCGCAAUGGGCGAAAGCCUGACGGAGCAACGCCGCGUGAGUGAUGAAGGUCUUCGGAUCGUAAAACUCUGUUAUUAGGGAAGAACAUAUGUGUAAGUAACUGUGCACAUCUUGACGGUACCUAAUCAGAAAGCCACGGCUAACUACGUG